GCAUAUCAAUAAGAGCAGGUCUCGCAUUGUAGGUUGAUGAAGCGUUUCCUCAGUUAAACCUUUCAAUUAAAGUUCCUUGGAACAGGACAUCAAAGAGGGUGAUAAUCCCGUGAUUAAUUGAAUGACAUACCAGUUUAACAACUAUGGAGCGUUUUCUUAGAGUCGGAAUGUUUGGGAUUGCAUUCCAAAAUGGGUGGUAAACUCCAUCUAAGGCUAAAUACUGGCGAGAGACCGAUAGCGAACAAGUACCGUGAGGGAAAGUUGAAAAGCACUCUGGAGAGAGAGUCAAACAGUACGUGAAAUUGCUAGCAGGGAAACGUUGGGCACCAGUACACGGCAAUCAAUGUUAAUGAUCAGUCGGUUUAUUAGUGAAUUAUAAUGCGGUGGUUAAACUUUGGAGAUUGUCCCAUUAGCGGCGACUCACGUAUUAUAAAUUAUUAAUUGACCGGUGCACUCUUUAACAGCCGGGUCAACAUCGGUUAAUGACGUCUAACAAGUUAGUUUUCAUACAACUGCAGGUGGCGAAAAUGUAGCAAGAGUAAGUCUUUUGGCUUACUCUUGAACUUAUAAGUCUUCUAGCGACGAUGUCAUUGACCGAGGAUUAAUCGAUUCGUGCGUUUCGGCGCAGGGCGUAUUAGUGAUGUUAAAAUUACACGUGUCAUUAAACAGCAUGCUGAUUAAUGGUCACUUUGCUAUUGCCACGUUGUAUAGCAGAGGUAGUUGCAUUGCUAAUAC
rnacentral:rRNA from 1 species